rnacentral:tRNA from 1 species
AAAAAAUUAGUUAAAAAUUAUAACAUUAGUAUGUCAAACUAAAAUUAUUGGUCGCUCAAUAUUUUUUA